GCACAAUGUUUGGUAGUGUCUUCAGCAAUUGUCAAUUUUGGAAAUGAGAAAAAUGUGAGUUUUGAUGCUGUUGUCUGUGAAUUUGUGGGUUUUGACUUUAUUGUUUCUUUAUUGAGUUGAUUCCGAUUGAAAAUGGAAGCAAUAACUGUUUAAAGUUUGGUUUGCAAUGUCGUCGUUAACCUGAAACAGUCUAAUCUUUAAUUUGAAUAUAUUUAGGGGAUUGAUUUGUUUUGUGAACUUGUUGGUGCCUUGAGGAUUGUAAGAAAUUGGUUUUGUCGUGUGUACAACAAGAAUUGAAUUGAGAUACUGGUCAUAAGAGUUUGAAUAAAUUUAGUUGCAACAGAUCAGCAUCUAAAUAGAGGAUGUUUACUUAAAAGAAAAUUGCUGAAAUCAUUUGUAAAACAUCCAACUUAAAUUUUAUGUGAAGUGGAAUAAAGGCUAUUAUGUGUGAUGCAAAGACUAUGAUUCUGAAGAGCUAUGUUACUGAUAUUACAUUUCGUGAUGGGCUUAAGGUUGACUUGUAAUUCUCAGCUUAGAUUGAAUAUAAUAUGAGUGUAAGUUCAUAUGCAUUACCAUACAAGUAUUGGUUGUUUUGAGAACUUAAUCUGCUAUUUAGUUCUCUAGCUCAUCAAGAGUGUUAUAUUUUGAAGAGAAUUGGAUUAUAUAGGUUAUGCGUAUGAUAAUUAGUUUGAUUAAAGGCAUGUAUAAGCAGUGGUGUUAUUCACUCUACUAAAAAGUGUUCACAUUGACAUCUUGCUCCGAUUGCUCAUUCAUUUUUAAAUUGGUUCUCAUUGUAGUAGUCUUAUUGUGUAUUUUUUUUAAGGUUCGUACAAAUCAAUUAAGUAUAAUGCACUCUUGUACUUGAUGUUUGUAAAAUCACAAACAUUAAGUGCUUUAAAACCAAAUCAAAAUUAAUUAACCAUUAACAAAUAAGAGAAAGUCAGAACAUAACAUCUUUUACAUUCCUUGGGGUAAUCCCAGUCCUAGAAAGAAAGGUUCUACAUUCCUCUAUGUUCAAGAUACAACCCAUGGACAUUGAUCUGAACAUUUGACAGGAAAAUACAAGGCUUUAAAAGAAAAAAAUCUACUUAUCCUUUGCCAAUCGACGGAUCUACAUGGAUCCAAGCUUGAUGUUCUCUUUUCUUUGCUCUUAGUUGCUCUUUUGAUCCCCUCUCUUGGUUUUUAGAGAUGUCUCCUUUUUUAGCCCCCCGUCGUCCUUGUUGCCUUCUCUCCCCAGUGAUAUGCUAGGGUUUCUUUUUUAUAUCAUGAUACACGGGUGGUGUUGGCUAACAUCGGCUGCUUGUCUUACUUUCUGAGUUUGAUUUCUGAAUUUCUGCAUAAACACUGAAUACACCCAUGCUAAUUAACACAUGCCAAUCAUGUUUUAUUGGAUCUUUGCUUUACAUCCCCUUCUUAUUCCAUGAUCCUCCAUAACUUGCUCUUUGUUUUACCCUCCAAAAUACAUCGAACAUUUGUAGAUUUGGGGUUGAAUUCCACUUAUCAGGAUGAAAAUCAAUAGAAGCAGUAGUCCGAACAAGGAGAAAGAAAUCCAUACAGAAAUCAUGUAGAAUUGCGUGAUUGAACAACAAAUAAGACCAAAUUCAUAUUAGAACCUCAUGUAAUUUCUACACUUAUCAAUUUUUAUCCACUUUAACAUCUCUACUAACAACACCUUACGAGAGAAAGGACUUUUUUUCUCCUAGCUUUGAUACGUGCACAAAACACUCACUGGUAAAGAUUUUAAGAUGACUAACCUUAGGCUUAAAGUUAAUCAAGACCUCAUAAGGUGUCUUGUCUUCCAAUGCCUUAGUGUAAAGCUUGUUCUGUAGAUAAGCUGAUGUGUUGACAACUUCAGCUCAAAAUCUUUUGGGCAAAUUCUUUUUAAACUAUAAGCAUCUGGCCAUGUUCAAAACAGCUCAGUUCUUCCUCUCUAAACACCAUUUUGCUGUGGUGUAUAAGGAGCCGUUAAUUGGUGUUGUAUUCCAUGUAGCUGCAAAAAACUCUGAAAACUCUGUGAGCAAUAUUUGGCCCCAUUAUAUGAUCUUAAGAAUUUAAUUUUCUUGCCACUCUCGGUUUCAAUCAUGGUCUUAAAUUAAACGAAUAAAUUAAACAUAUCUAAUCUGUGCUUCAUAAAAUACACCCAAUAAUACAUGUUGUAAUCAUCAAUAGAUAGCACAAGAUAGUUGCUGACAUGCAAGGAUUCUGUACUCAUAAGACCACAAAUAUCAGUGUGUAUCAGCUCCAACUUCUCUUUUGCUCUCCUAGGUUGUUGAGAUGGUAAAAGCAAUCUGUGGCACUUUCCUUCUUCACAAACACCACAAAUAUGUGUAUAUGCAACAAUUGAAACCAUUUCCAGCACCAUCUCCUUCUUCUGCAUUUGUUUCAAGAAGUCCUAAUUACAGUGGCCAAAUCUUUUAUGCCGCAGUAUUGAUUCAUCAAGCGUUGUAGUCAUUGUUGUCUCCCACUUUAAAGGAAAACUAUGAUCCCUCAUUUUUACCGCCAUUUGCUUUUCUUCUUUCUUAUAAAAAAUUUCACAUAGUUGGCUAUGAAAACUUGACAACAUACCACCGUCUAAAAGUUGUCCCUUGUAGCUAAUUUCAAGCACAUAAAGAACAUUUGGAAAUAAUUUUGUACCUGAUGGCAUUUUGAUUAUGAUAGUACCUCUUCCUUCAACAACAACAACAUGUUAUCCAUUCCCAAUUCUAAACCCUUGACUUAUAAUUCCUGUCAAGAGCUUGAAAGAUGCUUGAAUCUGCACACAUAUGGUGUGUGUAUCCACUAAUUAGUAAGCAAGUUGGUAAAUCAUUGAUUGUUGAAUCUGUUUGUGCCAUAAAAAGCAACUCCUCUCAUUUCAUUUUUUUGCAACCUGAGCUGUUUUCUGCUUUUCCACAGUGUUACAAACCCUCUCUAUAUGUGCAAAUUGCUUACAUUUUUUGUAUUGUACCCUUGGUCGAAAUUAGCAAAAAUGUUUGGAGUGAUUGGUCUACUUGCAAUGAGGAAAAGGAGGAAACUCUCUCCACUUUCUGUUGCUACUUCCUUGUCGAAUCUGUUGCAUUCUCCCUGCAAAUUGUCUUCCAAAUUGCUUCAUAUUGGCAAACUUCCUUUCGGUAAACUGAUUCUGAUUUAUGCAAUCUUUAGAGGCCAGUAAAGUUUCUUCAGUUGUAUUUUUUGGUUCAUCCUUCUGUAACUUCCUCAUGUUCUACCUUUGCUCUACUGCAUGUAAAGCGUUCAUCAACUCAGUUAAACUAAAGGUUGUCACUUGCUGCUAUAGUGCCACCGUUGCCUUGCUUAUGCGUCUUUACAAGAGAAAGGGCAAUCUUUCAGAAGCCGAGUUUACCUUCAGCCACAUGAGAACCUGCAAAAUUUGCUGUGUCACUGCCUGCUCAUCAAUGAUCACGAUUUACACACCUUUAGGUAUGUAAGACAAGUGGCUCCAGAUUAUCCACUUUAUGGGUGAAGAUAAUGCGGCUUCAGAAUUGGAGAAUUGGUUAGUUUGUAUUAAUACCUACAGUCAGCAAGGUAAGCUGUGGAGGGUGUCUGUGCUGACAAUGAUGCAAGAAGCUGGAUAUUCCCCCAAUAUUUCUGUGUACAAUACCUUGAUUACGGGGCAUGGAAAGCAAACUAAUGUCAAGGCUGCAGAACUUGUAUUUCAAAGGCUCCAAACCAUAAGCUUGGAGCCUGCUAAAACGACAUAUAGGUCCAUGAUUGAAGGUUUUGGUAGAGCUGACUAUUAUAGAGAGGUUGUGCAAUAUUAUGUGGAAGUCAACUCAAGAGAUCAGGAUUUAAACCAAACUCUUCAAAUAUCUACAUGAUGGUCAACUUGCAUGCCAAUACUGCAGGUAUAUGAGAGUGACAGUGACAUUGUUCAAACACUAAAAGUUAUGAGGGUGGCUGGCUGCCAAUACUCGUCUAUAUUGAGUAGCCUUCUUCAGGGAUAUGAGAGGGUUGUCAGAUUAGAAAAAGUUCCUCAAAAUUUAAAAGUUUAUUUUUUACGAUGGAAUUUUGGGGGACCAAGCCUCAACUUCCAUGUUAGUCAUGUCCUAUGUACAGAAUUCCCUUUGGAUGAUGACCUCCAUGCUUUGCAGGGACAAGGGUGGAAACAUUGAACCUAUAAAGACAGAUUGUACUAUAUACUGUGAACUUCAUUGCCGAACUUGGUUUACGAUGAAUAUUACUUCCUGUUUGAACCUAGUGAUAUCAGAUUUUUCUGGUGUUGUCAAUUAUGUCCUCUUGUUGCCCAAUGGUUGGAUACAUAAAUUCCACCUGAGAAUGGUGUCUAAAAAAUGAUAUGAAUGCAUUCCAAAGUGGAUCCUUAUGGUAUCAAGAAAGACAAUCCAAGAAUUCAGACUAGAACUAUUUCAACAACCUCGCUACAGGGUCCAUUCUUGUCUCUGCUCUUGUCUUGAACUCCAUCAUCUUCAUCUAUGUGACUGCACAGUUAUUCUGUUCAGAAGUUUCAAAGGUUUUGACAAGUUGAAAACUCUUCAACUCUCUUGUGUCACAACUUCUGAUGGUGAACUAAGCUCUUUGUUUUCAACGAGUACUCGGUUACAAAACCUGGAAGUGUGCUGCUAUGCUUCUAUGUUCUCAAUAUUAAUGUGCAAAUGAAAAAGCAACAGAUAUCAAUUCUUCAAGUGUGUCAACCUUUGGCGCAUCUGAAACUUUAUUUCUGCCAGCUUCUUGUGCUUCAAAUAUCUGAGCGGGUUGGUGACUCUUUGGCUUUCUCGUGUAAAGAUUUCACAUGAAAGAUUAAAGAAUUUUAUUUCUAGCUACCCUCAGUUAAAGGAGUUACAACUUCAAGCGUGGGAAGAUUUCAAUGAUCUGAGUGUUCAAUGUUUAAGGAUCUUGCGUGCUUCCAAGCAUCUCCAUUUGGUAGCUCUUCCACUUAAUGGUGUAUCUCUCAACCUACUAUCUUGUAACUGACACAAACAUGCCAAACUUUGUUCUGAAAUUCAAUGAAGAUGAAUAAUCAACUCCUGAAGGUAUUGGCAAAUUCAUGUUCAAAAGUUAUAUUCCCGUUGCUAAUUUCUCUUUCCUUGUAACAUUUGGAGAUAUGAUCAGUGAGUAUUUCCAUUGCUGAUCCACAAAUGAAGAUAAGUUUAUUGUGCAAAUGAAAGUUCGUGGUGGUGAGCUUAUUGUACCUCAAAAUUUCGAAGGCUUGGACAAGUUGAAGAUUCUUGAACUUAAUGAUUCUCCAAUGUUUGAAGAUAAAUGGUUUCAAACAUCUCCAUUUGGUUGCUCCUCUACUACAUAAUGCAUCUUUCAA